rnacentral:rRNA from 1 species
GACGUGACUUCAGAGUUUGAUCCUGGCUCAGGACGAACGCUGGCGGCGUGCCUAAUACAUGCAAGUGGAACGCAAUUGAUUCUCCCGUAGCUUGCUACAUUUGAAUUGAUUGAGUCGCGAACGGGUGAGUAACGCGUAGGUAACCUACCUUAUAGCGGGGGAUAACUAUUGGAAACGAUAGCUAAUACCGCAUAAGAGUUGACAACACAUGUUGUUAAUUUAAAAGGAGCAACAGCUUCACUAUGAGAUGGACCUGCGUUGUAUUAGCUAGUUGGUAAGGUAACGGCUUACCAAGGCUUCGAUACAUAGCCGACCUGAGAGGGUGAUCGGCCACACUGGGACUGAGACACGGCCCAG